UACGUAGGGUGCGAGCGUUGUCCGGAAUUAUUGGGCGUAAAGAGCUCGUAGGCGGCUUGUCACGUCGGAUGUGAAAGCUCGGGGCUUAACCCCGAGUCUGCAUUCGAUACGGGCUAGCUAGAGUGUGGUAGGGGAGAUCGGAAUUCCUGGUGUAGCGGUGAAAUGCGCAGAUAUCAGGAGGAACACCGGUGGCGAAGGCGGAUCUCUGGGCCGUAACUGACGCUGAGGAGCGAAAGCAUGGGGAGCGAACAGG
rnacentral:rRNA from 1 species